GACCUCAGUUUGGGAAAUGCAGAUAUAAACGCUCGUGUAAUAGUCAAAUUAUUUGAUUUGUACAUUCAAAUGAGUUUGAAAGUGUUCAGGCUUUGUGUUUGAAUCAAGCAGUGUUUUCUCUUUGAUAGUCUUAAAGGGACAGUUCACCCAAAAAUGAGUGUUCGGUCAUCAUUUACUCAUCAUAGAUAAAGCUGUACCCAAGUUGCCAACAUUAACAUUUUAAUUUAGUGUNNNNNNUGUGUGUGUGUGUGUGUGUGUGUGUGUGUGUGUGUGUGUGUGUGUGUGUGUGCGUGUGCAGUUAAGAACACUGUAAAAAAUAGUAAUAAUAAAAUAAAUUAUAAAUAAUACAAAGAUUAUUAUUAUUAUUAUAAUUAUUAUUAUUAUUACUCUUUCAGGCUUUCUACUCACACACAAUUAAAUGUUCACAUUUAAUUCAGUGUGUUAAUUGCUGUUUCUAAGUAAUUGAUUGUGAAAUUAUUUCUGAGUGAAAAUAGUUACAAAGGCUUUUUUUUCUUUUUUUUCCUGUUAGGAGGUUUCGAGCUGUGAUCACUAGCUUACAUUGUAUGGGAAGGAUCUGUGUGAAGGUCUGAAACAACAUGAGAGGUGGUAACCUAAGCUGUCCUGCAUUUGGCGUUUUAAUGUGUCCAUUCCUGUUCUUGAUUGCACUUGGAGGUCACCGGGAUCUAAAGUCACUGGAAGCAGUUAAAAUAAUAGGAGCUGACCACAUGUUGGAGGUUAUGAGAUGUGGCCCCCCGACACACAGAGAAGCUGCUGCAAACCCACUGCUGGAACAUUAAUGUUGUGCCUCGCUGACCUGUUUGUUUAAAACUUACACAAAUAUUUGUGUAAACUGAUUUACAGUAAACAUUUGAUGCAAGUUAUUGCUGAUAUAUGAAUACAAAUACGCAAAACCACAUAAACGAAGCUCUUUCUCCUUUAAUUUUUUUUAGAUGACUCAGCUUCUUUUCGUGUAAUGGUGAGUAAACAUGUGCAUGUAAAUAUAAAUCAAAAAUCGGUGCAUGUGAUUGUGUGUGUGUGUGCUGUGGGAGCGAAUGCACACUUCCUGUUUACCUUUCCUCACUGACACUUUACCUUUCCAUCACUAGUGCAUUUACACAAAUAUACACACACUUCCACAUGACUUCAUUACAGGACAGACGGGGAGUAAUUUGUUUGCGUUAAGAGUCAGCGCAACUAUUCUUCAAACUGCACCAUCUUCCCUAUAAAUUAUAAUUCCACACAUGUGGUGGCCAUUUCCUGUUCAUUUAUUUCCCAUAGAGUACAUGUAAACAUACAUCAGUCACCAUAUAGACGUCCAAUAAAAUAAUACUGUUAAAAGGGUAGUAACUGAUU
ensembl:lncRNA